AGGAGGGAAAAGCUACUGCUCUAAUUUCCUUUAGUGCAAUCUAUGAAUACCACUGCCUGGAUGCAUUUAGUAUUGUUAAUUAUUCCAGGACCAGCCUUGUGAUGGAUGUAAGGAAGAGAAAUGGCACGAGUGCAUUAUUUUUCUAUAUGCAAAGCAAGGAAGAAGAUUUGGAAGUUGACAUCCCAAACUGGUUAACAGUGACUGCUUUUGUGGAGGGAGACCUCAGUGUUUCUAUCAUGGACUUUCAACUGAUCAGGUGAGGAUAGUUCCUAUAUAGAGAGACACGGAUUGGACUUUCUCCAGUUUCUGAAUAAGAAGAGUCAGGCUCACUGCAGGGAAGAAGAAAAUGGGCUCAAGCAGGCUUGAUUGGAAGAAAGUGAGACAUUGUUUGAAGUGAGGAUUCCCUGUGCAGUGAAAGUGAUGUGGACUUGUCAUGAGAAACCUGCUUCUCAACGCUGGCUGUGUUUGCCUACAUCCUUUGCAUCCACACGUGAUCAUGAAAUUUCACCAACAGAAUAGGACCAGAGGAAGGGGCACCUUCCAGAACAACUGUGGCCAGUGCCCCAUCCCCACGGUGAUCCACUGCCAACCCAUGCUCCACAGGAGACCCUCUAACACUAGCAAGUGUAGUUGCGUUUUUACCUUGUCUCCCCCAUAAAAGGACACUAAAAAGAAUUGCCCGAGAAAGAGGAAAGCACAGGAAGGAAAUGGAAAAUGACGAUGCUGGAUGUAGUUCAGCUCCGUUCAUUUCAGUUCAGUCACUCAGUCGUGUCCGACUCUUUGCGACCCCAUGAAUCGCAGCACACCAGGCCUCCCUGUCCAUCACCAACUACCGGAGCCCACCCAAACCCAUGUCCA
ensembl:lncRNA